rnacentral:rRNA from 1 species
GACGAACGCUGGCGGUGUGCUUAACACAUGCAAGUCGAACGGUAAGGCCCUUUCGGGGGUACACGAGUGGCGCACGGGUGAGUAACACGUGAGUAACCUGCCCUCAUCUCUGGGAUAACAGUCGGAAACGGUUGCUAAUACUGGAUAUGAGCCUGCAAGGCAUCUUGUGGGUUGGAAAGAUUUUUUGGUUGGGGAUGGACUCGCGGCCUAUCAGCUUGUUGGUGAGGUAGUGGCUCACCAAGGCUUCGACGGGUAGCCGGCCUGAGAGGGCGACCGGCCACAUUGGGACUGAGAUACGGCCCAAACUCCUACGGGAGGCAGCAGUGGGGAAUAUUGCACAAUGGACGGAGGUCUGAUGCAGCAACGCCGCGUGCGGGAUGACGGCCUUCGGGUUGUAAACCGCUUUCAAUUGUGACGAAGCUUUUUGUGACGGUAGCAGUAGAAGAAGCACCGGCUAACUACGUG